GCCAGGCAUGGUGGCGCAUGUCUGUAUUCCCAACUACUUGGGAGGCUGAGACAGGAGGAUUACUUGAGCCCAGGAGGUUGAGACUCCAGUGAGAUGUGAUCCUGCCACUAUAGUCCAGCCUGGGUGACAGAGUGAGAGCCUGUCUCUU
ensembl:misc_RNA Metazoa_SRP Metazoan signal recognition particle RNA